rnacentral:misc_RNA from 1 species
UUUCCGUAGGUGAACCUGCGGAAGGAUCAUUCAUAAUAAAGUGUUUUAGGGCACUUUUUAAAAAUCCAUAUCCACCUUGUGUGCAAUGUUAGAUCUCGUCAAUCUUGGCGAGAUUUUUAUACAUCAACUCAUUCUUUAACUAAUUUGUCUGAAAAAUAUUAUGAAUACUUAAUUCAAAAUACAACUUUCAACAACGGAUCUCUUGGCUCUC